rnacentral:rRNA from 1 species
UACGUAGGGUGCAAGCGUUGUCCGGAAUUAUUGGGCGUAAAGAGCUCGUAGGCGGUUUGUCGCGUCUGCUGUGAAAUCUGGAGGCUCAACCUCCAGCCUGCAGUGGGUACGGGCAGACUAGAGUGCGGUAGGGGAGAUUGGAACUCCUGGUGUAGCGGUGGAAUGCGCAGAUAUCAGGAAGAACACCGAUGGCGAAGGCAGAUCUCUGGGCCGUAACUGACGCUGAGGAGCGAAAGCGUGGGGAGCAAACAGG